rnacentral:rRNA from 1 species
UACGAAGGGGGCUAGCGUUGUUCGGAAUUACUGGGCGUAAAGCGCAUGUAUGCGGCGAUUCAAGUCGGGGGUGAAAUCCUGAGGCUCAACCUCAGAACUGCCUUCGAUACUGUUUUGCUAGAGUAUGGAAGAGGUAGGUGGAACUGCGAGUGUAGAGGUGAAAUUCGUAGAUAUUCGCAAGAACACCAGUGGCGAAGGCGGCCUACUGGUCCAUCACUGACGCUGAGAUGCGAAAGCGUGGGGAGCAAACAGG